rnacentral:rRNA from 1 species
UACGGAGGGUGCAAGCGUUAAUCGGAAUUACUGGGCGUAAAGCGCACGCAGGCGGUCUUUUAAGUUUGACGUGAAAGCUCCCGGCUUAACUGGGAGAGGUCGUUGAAGACUGGAAGACUUGAGGCAAUGAGAGGGGUGUAGAAUUCCCGGUGUAGUGGUGGAAUGCGUAGAUAUCGGGGGGAAUACCAGUGGCGAAAGCGGCACCCUAGCGUUAGCCUGACGCUCAUGUGCGAAAGCGUGGGGAGCGAACGGG